rnacentral:rRNA from 1 species
GUUUGAUCCUGGCUGAGGAUGAACGCUGGCGGCGUGCUUAACACAUGCAAGUCGAACGAUGAUCUCCAGCUUGCUGGGGGGAUUAGUGGCGAACGGGUGAGUAACACGUGAGUAACCUGCCCUUGACUCUGGGAUAAGCCUGGGAAACUGGGUCUAAUACCGGAUAUGACCAUCUGGCGCAUGUCAUGGUGGUGGAAAGCUUUUUUGUGGUUUUGGAUGGACUCGCGGCCUAUCAGCUUGUUGGUGGGGUAAUGGCCUACCAAGGCGACGACGGGUAGCCGGCCUGAGAGGGUGACCGGCCACACUGGGACUGAGACACGGCCCAGACUCCUACGGGAGGCAGCAGUGGGGAAUAUUGCACAAUGGGCGCAAGCCUGAUGCAGCGACGCCGCGUGAGGGAUGACGGCCUUCGGGUUGUAAACCUCUUUCAGUAGGGAAGAAGCGUAAGUGACGGUACCUGCAGAAGAAGCGCCGGCUAACUACGUGCCAGCAGCCGCGGUAAUACGUAGGGCGCAAGCGUUAUCCGGAAUUAUUGGGCGUAAAGAGCUCGUAGGCGGUUUGUCGCGUCUGCUGUGAAAGACCGGGGCUCAACUCCGGUUCUGCAGUGGGUACGGGCAGACUAGAGUGC